rnacentral:lncRNA from 2 species
AUUCCUCCUCAUCCAGUCAUCCCCAACCUCUCGCAUCGGCUUCUUCGUGCAGUGCGGUCACAGCGUCAUCAGGCGGCGGCGCCGCCACCGUAGACGACGGGGUCUACCGUCGUGGGCGGCCGUAUUUGGCCGUUCAGCCAACACCGCGAGAAAACAGUCGACGCCGGUUAGGCCUUGACCUCGCCGGUGGCAACGGCACCACGACAAGGUACAACCAUUGUCAAAGAGGACCCGAGCUCGGCGGCGGCGACGGCGGCGGCGGCGGCGGCGUCAACGUCACAAGGAGAUACGACUAGCGACGGUUAGGGCCCUGAGCUUGCCGGCGGCGGUGGUACUGCAAGGGAGCGGGCUGGAGCUUGAGGCGCCGUUGAUGGAGAUGGCCCUGCGCUCGCCGACGAAGUCAAAAGCUCAACAGUGAAUGGAGUGGGACCGGGACGAGGACGUGGGCGGAGAUGGUUGGCCUUAGAGGGAUGGUUGAAGCUAGCCUUGGUUUGGUUGGGCGGGGUUAGCGUGGUGGCGGGGUAAGCAAUAGGGAUAGAGGGGAGCAGCGUGGCAAGGCUGCGGGAGGAGAAAAUAACUCACCUAGUUGUUGGGCCAAGCUUGCCGGAGGGAAGGCAGAUAUGGGGCUCACUUGCGUUGAGUUUGUUGGCAUUUUGUCACAGAUGAGAAAUUAAGAAGUUGGUGAAGAGAGAGGAAGGCCACUAAUAUGGGGGCGGUGGAAGAGGCUUGGCGGGGGUGCUCCUCGCAUCGGAUACAUCACCGUCUCGAUUAAGUCGCAACUGGAGGACAACGGGAAGAGGAUAAUGUGGAUCGGGUGCAAGCUAAUUGGUUUGCUCGGAUUAGCUCGUGUACUAUAU